UCAUUGUUAUAAGCUUUCUCUUUGAUAGCUCCUUCCUAUUAAAGCAACACCAAAGCACUUUUCCUCUUUGGUCCCCCUGCAGAUUGAAAGUUGAAUUGUCCAUUACCGCUGUCUCAUUGGAACUAGAGAUCCACUA